AACGAACGCUGGCGGCAGGCCUAACACAUGCAAGUCGAGCGAGGACUUCGGUUCUAGCGGCGGACGGGUGAGUAACGCGGGGGAAUGUGCCCUUCUCUACGGAAUAGCCCUGGGAAACUGGGAGUAAUACCGUAUACGCCCUAUUGGGGAAAGAUUUAUCGGAGAAGGAUCAGCCCGCGUUGGAUUAGGUAGUUGGUGGGGUAAUGGCCUACCAAGCCGACGAUCCAUAGCUGGUUUGAGAGGAUGAUCAGCCACACUGGGACUGAGACACGGCCCAGACUCCUACGGGAGGCAGCAGUGGGGAAUCUUAGACAAUGGGGGCAACCCUGAUCUAGCCAUGCCGCGUGAGUGAUGAAGGCCUUAGGGUUGUAAAGCUCUUUAAGCUGGGAAGAUAAUGACGGUACCAGCAGAAGAAGCCCCGGCUAACUCCGUG
rnacentral:rRNA from 1 species